rnacentral:rRNA from 1 species
CCUACGGGUGGCAGCAGUGAGGAAUAUUGGUCAAUGGACGAGAGUCUGAACCAGCCAAGUAGCGUGAAGGAUGACUGCCCUAUGGGUUGUAAACUUCUUUUAUAUGGGAAUAAAACGUUCCACGUGUGGGAUUUUGUAUGUACCAUAUGAAUAAGGAUCGGCUAACUCCGUGCCAGCAGCCGCGGUAAUACGGAGGAUCCGAGCGUUAUCCGGAUUUAUUGGGUUUAAAGGGAGCGUAGGUGGAUUGUUAAGUCAGUUGUGAAAGUUUGCGGCACAACCGUAAAAUUGCAGUUGAAACUGGCAGUCUUGAGUACAGUAGAGGUGGGCGGAAUUCGUGGUGUAGCGGUGAAAUGCUUAGAUAUCACGAAGAACUCCGAUUGCGAAGGCAGUUCACUGGACUGCAACUGACACUGAGGCUCGAAAGUGUGGGUAUCAAACAGGAUUAGAUACCCCUGUAGUC